rnacentral:rRNA from 1 species
CAGCAGCCGCGGGAAUACGUAGGGUGCAAGCGUUAAUCGGAAUUACUGGGCGUAAAGCGUGCGCAGGCGGUUUGUUAAGACAGAUGUGAAAUCCCCGGGCUCAACCUGGGAACUGCAUUUGUGACUGGCAAGCUAGAGUAUGGCAGAGGGGGGUGGAAUUCCGCGUGUAGCAGUGAGAUGCGUAGAUAUGCGGAGGAACACCGAUGGCGAAGGCAGCCCCCUGGGCCAAUACUGACGCUCAUGCACGAAAGCGUGGGGAGCAAACAGGAUUAGAUACCCGGGUAGUCCCUGUCUCUUAUAC